UACGAAGGGGGCUAGCGUUGCUCGGAAUGACUGGGCGUAAAGGGCGCGUAGGCGGAUGGCUUUGUCGGGCGUGAAAUUCCAGGGCUUAACCUUGGGGCUGCGUUCGAGACGGGUUGUCUUGAGUGGGGAAGAGGGUCGUGGAAUUCCCAGUGUAGAGGUGAAAUUCGUAGAUAUUCGCAAGAACACCAGUGGCGAAGGCGGCUCACUGGCCCGAUACUGACGCUGAGGCACGAAAGCGUGGGGAGCAAACAGG
rnacentral:rRNA from 1 species